rnacentral:RNase_P_RNA from 1 species
CGAGUCGGUCGGGUGAUCGCGGCUUAACGGCUGAGGAAAGUCCGGACUCCACAGAGCACGGUGGUGGAUAACGUCCACCCAGGGUGACCUGCGGGAAAGUGCCACAGAAAACAGACCGCCCGUAAGGGUAAGGGUGAAACGGCGGUGUAAGAGACCACCAGCGUCCUAGGUGACUAGGACGGCUUGGCAAACCCCACUGGGAGCAAAGGCAAGAAGGGGGCAACCCCGCGGAUACUGUUUGAGCGCUGCUCGCGCAAGGUAUCCGGGUAGCCUGCACGCCGCAAGGCGAAGGCGGCUGGAAACAGUCGUCGCAGACGGAUGAUCACCGCCUCGAAAGAGGUACAGAAUCCGGCUUAUAGACCGACUCGUUCU